rnacentral:rRNA from 1 species
GACGAACGCUGGCGGCGUGCUUAACACAUGCAAGUCGAACGGAAAGGCCCUGCUUUUGUGGGCUGCUCGAGUGGCGAACGGGUGCGUAACACGUGAGUAACCUGCCCUUGACUUUGGUAUGACUUCAGGUAACUGGGGCUACUAUCGUAUAGCAUCUCCUGCUGCAUGGUGGGCGUUGGAACGUUUCGGCGGUUGGGGAUGGAUUCGCGGCUUACCAGCUUGUUGGUGGGGUAGUGGCUUACCAAGGCUUUGACGGGUAGCCGGCCUGGGAGGGGGAACGGCCACAUGGGGACUGAGAGACGGCCCAGACUCCUACGGGAGGCAGCAGUGGGGAAUAUUGCACAAUGGGCGGAAGCCUGAUGCAGCAACGCCGCGUGCGGGAUGACGGCCUUCGGGUUGUAAACCGCUUUCGCCUGUGACGAAGCGUGAGUGACGGUAAUGGGUAAAGAAGCACCGGCUAACUACGUG